GAAAUACCUAAGAAUACUUUUUUAACAUGUCUCAUUCAGCAGGACUGGUUGCUUCAAACUAUCAGUGUAGAAGUUGCGUAUGUGGAUUCUCAUCCAUGCUGCCCAAUCUGGAAUUGUUCUGCCUCUUCACGUUGCCUAUGGAACAACUUGGGUAUUGAAGAUAAGUCACAACCCAGCUUUAAAACUACAGUUCCAGGAGAAACACCAUCUGUAAUAGCACAAGGUCAAGGACUGGUAGUAGGUAAUAAUGGUACAUUAACCCUAAGAUCUAAAGUUAAUUUAAAUGUAACUAUGUAAUAACACUGGAUAGGAAGCUGCAUGUGGCUUUGACAGUAGAGUGAAAUGGGUACUACAGACAUGUAAGGCAACAUUUGUCAUUGUAGUUGACAUAUAUUUUUUGACCAAAUCACCAAGCAGACUUGCUGGAUAAUUUCUCAUAUGGCUGAACAAGAAGCGUCUUAUUUUGCACUGUUUAAUACAUCAGUAACACUUGAAGUAACCUUCCAUCAAGAAGACAAGUUUCUCAAACAAAAUACCGAGAUUACUCAACAUCUGUCUGAAAUCGGAAAAUGCUUAGAAGAAAGAGAAGAAAAAUGAUAUGUAAUAAUAAUGAACUGAUUUGGCUAGCAAAAGUGGAAACCAGUCUUACUGAACAUCAUUGGCAUAGGAUCUUUAAAGAUUCGUCACCAAAAGCUACCAAUGUGUUGCAACUGAUUUUACAUCCUAUGCUCAUGCUGUUAAUAAUCAUUGUGUUGUUAUUUGUUAUAAUCUUAGUGUUUACCUGUUAUCUUAAGAACCAAAUAGUACACAUGAAUGAAAUAUUAACUCAAUUUAAAUCAUGUACUGAGCUAUUUUAAAUUACUGUUUUCCCAUAUAUAUAAGCUCUUACUUGGACUGUGCACAGGCAAGAAGGGCUGGUCAUUCAUAUGAUGAAUUUAUUAAGCUCACUGUGCAACACCAGUAAUCACUAAAUGUUGUCUGAGCCAAGAGGUGGAAUGUGACUGACCAAUAAACCCCUGCAAUGGAAGAAGGCUUAGAGGAGGUGGGCAAGGGUUGAGGUGCCCAGGGAGGAAGGCAGGGUGUGACUCACCACAGCUGUUGCAAAGAAAGCUGAAUUUAUGUCAACACAGAGGGGACUGGGAGGCAGCCUGUCUUUUAGAUACACACCUAUGUCAGUUGCAGAUCAAUUGACUGUAUCACAGUUGAGUAGAUCAGCUGUGUAAACGUUUCUCCCUGAGUUAAUCAGAGGAGUGUGAUUGCCUCCCUCAGUUAGCAAGACCAGCAUGGGCAGAGUGUAUACAUGGCUCAGCCCAACACAGAGUAUAGAAACUGCACAAAUAACAAAAGAACUUCAAAGAGAGCAAUGGGCUUGAGCUGGUUUCAACCCACGUAUUGCUUCCCAGAGACUGGGGACAACCAGCAUCGGGACAGGGAGCAUAUGAUAGAGGCUGGCAAUGGGAAUCAGAUUUGUAUUGCAAUUCAAUUGUAUAUUGUAAUUGCUAUAUUUUGCUAAGUGUAACUUACGCUUGUAUUGUGAUUUAAGUAUAUUGUUGCAUCACUCUGCUAAAUCAGAAUCCCAUGUAUGGUCAAAUAUCUUCAAAUAAGUAAAUUAGAUAUUAAACAUUACACCCUCCAUGCAUGG